GAAAACUUGAUACGUCGAGGGGUUGAUUUCGUCCGGUUAUCCGUUUAAGGGGCACCUUUUCCAAAGCACAAAACGCAGCUUCCGUUCUACGGACGGGAUCACAACGUCAGAAAAGCACGACACAGACGCAACUACGAACUGCGACAUGC